rnacentral:rRNA from 1 species
AUUGAACGCUGGCGGCAUGCUUUACACAUGCAGGUCGAACGGUAACAGGCCGCAAGGUGCUGACGAGUGGCGAACGGGUGAGUAAUGCAUCGGAACGUGCCCAGUCGUGGGGGAUAACGCAGCGAAAGCUGUGCUAAUACCGCAUACGAUCUAUGGAUGAAAGCGGGGGACCGUAAGGCCUCGCGCGAUUGGAGCGGCCGAUGUCAGAUUAGGUAGUUGGUGGGGUAAAGGCCUACCAAGCCGACGAUCUGUAGCUGGUCUGAGAGGACGACCAGCCACACGGGGACUGAGACACGGCCCAGACUCCUACGGGAGGCAGAAGUGGGGAAUUUUGGACAAUGGGCGCAAGCCUGAUCCAGCAAUGCCGCGUGCAGGAAGAAGGCCUUCGGGUUGUAAACUGCUUUUGUACGGAACGAAACGGUCUGGGUUAAUACCCUGGGCUAAUGACGGUACCGUAAGAAUAAGCACCGGCUAACUACGUGCCAGCCGCCGCAGUAAAAC